AUUGAAUGCUGGCGGCAUGCCUUACACAUGCAAGUCGAACGGUAACAGGUCUUCGGAUGCUGACGAGUGGCGAACGGGUGAGUAAUACGUCGGAACGUGCCUAGUAGUGGGGGAUAACUACUCGAAAGAGUGGCUAAUACCGCAUGAGAUCUACGGAUGAAAGCAGGGGAUCGCAAGACCUUGUGCUACUAGAGCGGCAGAUGGCAGAUUAGGUAGUUGGUGGGAUAAAAGCUUACCAAGCCGACGAUCUGUAGCUGGUCUGAGAGGACGAUCAGCCACACUGGGACUGAGACACGGCCCAGACUCCUACGGGAGGCAGCAGUGGGGAAUUUUGGACAAUGGGCGCAAGCCUGAUCCAGCAAUGCCGCGUGCAGGAUGAAGGCCUUCGGGUUGUAAACUGCUUUUGUACGGAACGAAAAGCCCCGGGUUAAUACCCUGGGGUCAUGACGGUACCGUAAGAAUAAGCACCGGCCAACUACGUGCCAGCCGCCGCGGUAA
rnacentral:rRNA from 1 species